rnacentral:misc_RNA from 1 species
AGUCGUGAUUCAGAUUUCAAGCACUCAGCAACUCUGGCAUUAAUUUGCUCUGCUCUGACAUUACACGCGUCUAAACUUCUACACACUGACUUCUACUUCUACACCCUUUGCCUUAGCACGCGUCUAUCGCUAGAGGAGAUCCCAACACAAUAACCAUGUCGUCUUGUCAUGGAAGGACUCAGUGGAGAUUCGUCCAAGUACAAAUCAUCAAGCUGCUCCAUUCAUCAGAUGCUGAUGUAAUGCGUUUAUAACGCUAAAUGUACGAUCAAUCCCAACAGGCUCAGAUUUAAUGAUCCUUGGGGCGCUGGUGCUGUGUUCUACCAUUUCGUGAGAGUAUGAGAUUACUCUCUCCAGCUCUAAAACUUUCUAGAGAAGGAUAUGAGUUCUUCAGGGAGGAGAACUACGUGAGGGAUGUGUUCUGGCUCUUCGAAAAUGUCCACAACAUGGAUGACGGUGAUCUCAAAACUUUAUAUGAGAAUCUGGGUGUGAAAUCCGUAUUGAUAGUCUCAACACUUCAAUGCCAUGGAGCAGGUGCCCACGUAUGGGGGUGUGGCAUCGCGGCCUGAACCCUGCCAUGAAGUGUGAGAGAUUUCUGGGCAAAUAUUUCUGGUAUGACGUCAUUGCACUGCAGAAAAGUCCAAAAACUGUUUCUCUCAAACUACAAGACUUUCUGGGGAAGAAAAUCAACAGGCAGGCCAAGUUUGAGGUGAUAAACACAGUCACAACUAGACAGAAUCUAAUAGAAACGAGCUGUAAUGGACGAGGACUCCUCACUCGUGCCGUUAAUGAAGGAGGUGGAGGCUGAGUUGGACUUUGUCCAACUCAUCAACAAAUCGCAGCCGAAACCGUGGGUGCCGCUGUGAGAGUUGAAGGAACG